rnacentral:rRNA from 1 species
CCCUUAGAUGUUCUGGGCCGCACGCGCGCUACGCUGAUGAAUGCAACGAGCUCUACCCUUGACCGAAAGGCCCGGGUAAACUUGUGAAACUUCAUCGUGAUGGGGAUAGAUUAUUGCAAUUAUUAAUCUUCAACGAGGAAUUCCUAGUAAGCGCGAGUCAUCAGCUCGCGUUGAUUACGUCCCUGCCCUUUGUACACACCGCCCGUCGCUCCUACCGAUUGAAUGGUCCGGUGAAAUCUUCGGAUUGCUGACCAAGAUCCAGCAAUGGAGCUUGGUUGCGAGAAGUUGAUUAAACCUUAUUAUUUAGAGGAAGGAGAAGUCGUAACA